UCUGAGAAUUCUUAACUAACUCAAAGAUAUAGUCCUUGAGAAAGGAAGAAGCCACACUUCCCUCAAUAGCCUGGCAGUGUACACUCCUUGCUCUAAGAAAUACAUGGUAAACAGGGACUGUGCCAAGACUACACACCAAUAAAACAUUUUGGACCUUUAGCCCUGCUCUCAUGGAGAAAUAUGAGUGGUCUCAGGAAGUUUGCAGCCUUGGUUUUCAUGGUAAGUCCGGCGCACGUGAAACUAUUGGCAUGCCACACAACACCAUGGAUGUGUCCAAAUAUGUGGGACACCUCAAAGGCCACAUGUUUGGAGUUUCCUUCUAUCUCCUCCUUCCUAACCUCUAAAUGCCUGUGGGCUCCGGGGUUCUGGCCUCUUCUCAAUUUACAUUCUCAUCCCUAAGCUUAAGUG
rnacentral:lncRNA from 10 species